rnacentral:rRNA from 1 species
CGCCCGAGGAUGGGCCGGCGCCGAUUAGGUAGUGGUGUAACGCACCAAGCGAAUCGUACGGCCAUGAGAUGGGAGCCGGAGAUGACCUGAGACAGGGUCCAGCCUACGGGCAGCAGCGGAACUCCGCAAUGCGGCAACCGCGACGGGGGGACCCCCAGUGCCGUGGCAUCGCACGCUUUUCGGAGUGUAAAAAGCUCGGGAAUAAGGGCUGGCAAGCCGUGGCAGCGCGCGGUAAUACGGCGGCCGAGUGGUGGCCGCUAUUAUUGGCUAAAGCGUCGUAGCCGGGCCCGUAAGUCCUGGCGAAAUCCACGGCUCAACCGUGGGGCUUGCUGGGGAUACUGCGGGCCUUGGGACCGGGAGAGGCCGGGGGUACCCCUGGGGUAGGGGUGAAAUCCUAUAAUCCCAGGGGGACCGCCAGUGGCGAAGGCGCCCGGCUGGAACGGGUCCGACGGUGAGGGACGAAGGCCAGGGGAGCGAACCGGAUUAGAUACCCGGGUAGUCCUGGCUGUAAAGGAUGCGGGCUAGGUGUCGGGCGAGCUUCGAGCUCGCCCGGUGCCGAAGGGAAGCCGUUAAGCCCGCCGCCUGGGGAGUACGGCCGCAAGGCUGAAACUUAAAGGAAUUGGCGGGGGAGCACUACAAGGGGUGGAGCGUGCGGUUUAAUUGGAUUCAACGCCGGGAACCUCACCGGGGGCGACGGCAGGAUGAAGGCCAGGCUGAAGGUCUUGCCGGACACGCCGAGAGGAGGUGCAUGGCCGCCGUCAGCUCGUACCGUGAGGCGUCCACUUAAGUGUGGUAACGAGCGAGACCCGCGCCCCCAGUUGCCAGUCCUCCCCGCUGGGGAGGAGGCACUCUGGGGGGACCGCCGGCGAUAAGCCGGAGGAAGGAGCGGGCGACGGUAGGUCAGUAUGCCCCGAAACCCCCGGGCUACACGCGCGCUACAAUGGGCGGGACAAUGGGAUCCGACCCCGAAAGGGGAAGGGAAUCCCCUAAACCCGCCCCCAGUUCGGAUCGCGGGCUGCAACUCGCCCGCGUGAAGCUGGAAUCCCUAGUACCCGCGUGUCAUCAUCGCGCGGCGAAUACGUCCCUGCUCCUUGCACACACCGCCCGUCACUCCACCCGAGCGGGGUCUGGAUGAGGCCUGAUCUCCCUUCGGGGAGGUCGGUCGA